rnacentral:lncRNA from 1 species
CCUUAUUCAGUCUCUCAUCUCUCUCACUCUAACUAACCCUAGCUGCCCCAAACCCUUCACCAUCUCCGCCGUCCCCCGCUGCCUGGAAAUCGCCUUACGACGGCGGACUACCUCCUAUCUCAUCCAAAUUCACACCAGACAACCGCCGUAAUCUCCUCAUCCUGUAUCUACUCUCAAUUUCUCCAAAAUCCCCACCCAUCUUCUCCAAUUUUAGAUCUAAAAAUCCUGAAAAACCUAAUCUUUCCUUCUUCUGAUUUCAUUGCCGGUACUAGCUCGUUUUGGCCUGAAACUUACCUCAUUGGUCAUCACAUUCUCGGCCAAAAUCAGUAUACCUUUCUCCCCAAAUCCCUUUGUUUCUUUUUCUAUUUUUGAAUUGUCAUUUAGGUGUUAAUCUUGAUUGGUUUGGUUAUUAAUUCGUUUAAUUUCAGUAAAAGUAGGUUUAUUUAGUUAAUUGCAUAGGUUUAUUUAGUUAAUUGCAUUGUUUAGUUUAAUUACAUUUGUUUAGGCCAAUUAAAUCAGCUUUAGUCAACUUAGUAGAUUAGUUAGGUUUUAAUUAAUGGAUUGUUUUUGUUUUGGUUUAUUUCUAAUUGUUGCCUUAAUUAUUUGAGUUUAGAGGUUUGAAUGCCAAUUGGGAAUUAGGAGGGUGAAAGUGUAAUAAACAGAACUUGAAGGGGUUAAUUUGGAAGAAAAAAUGGAUACAGUUUAGGUAAAAAUAUCAGAAGGUUCUAGUAUUAGACAAGUGUCCCUCUUUUUGGUGUGAAAAUGCUGAAAUUGGGUAAACGGACAGACACCUGUACCAAAUGUGUUAAAAAAAGAUGUUGUACUAUCCUAUUUUACCGCUGACAUUUUCUAAUUUUUAGGGUAGAAUAUUCCCUAUUAUGCUUAUGUUAAAGAACGGACCCUCACUCACUCAUACAGACAUUCUUCAGCACACUCACUCUAAAAUCUAAGUUUCUGUUUUGGCAUGAAUGAGCUGAUUUCAUUAUUUGUUCCAUGAAAUCUUGAUCCUCCAUCGUCACUUGCUGAUUUUCCUUAUGUUUAGCAUGUUAAUUAGUAGAUCUUGUUUCAGUUAAACUCAUGAGUGGUGUUCUGUUUAUUUUGUGUGAAAAAUGGAAAAAGAAAAACUUCAUUACUCUACUAUUUGAUUACUUGAAGUGAUAUGGUUAUUUUUUAAACUUUGAGUCUAUUUCUGAGUUAAAUGUCCUAUUGUGAAUUAGUUGAUUAUAAGAUGGGAGCUGAUCGAGUUGUUAACUCUAAACAUUAGCUUAAAUAGCCUUUAAUAAUAUCUUAAGCAUGUAAUAUCAGUUAUUGAUUUUUUUUAAGUUUGAAUACCAUUUCAACCCUGUUUUAGACCAUGCGGAUUCAAUUCAAAAGAGUUUUUACAAUAGUGUUGGUUUAUGUGGAUUUGUGUUGAGUUUGGAGUGUAAAAGAGAUGGUUUGUUACAGGAUACGUAACUAUGGCUUGCUAAUCUGACCACCAUUUAGAUCAGAUUGGUGAACUCUAAAGCUAAAGGAUGCAUUUGGAUUCAUCUAUGGAGGGAGAUUAAGCAAAAGAUUGACUAUUCUUUGAACCAUUCAUGUAUACAUUUUAAAGUUAUAUUUGUUACUGUAUUACCAUAUCUGGAAAUAUUAGAAUGUAUUUGGUUUGUUAUGUUAACUCAAAGGGGCCAGUUUGUCCAUUUUCACUCAUUUUUGGCAAAUUUAAUUCUGAAAGUUUGAAUGAGUUACUG